CCUACGGGGGGCGGCAGUGGGGAAUAUUGCGCAAUGGGCGGAAGCCUGACCGAGCAAUGCCGCGUGAACGAAGAAGGUCUUCGGAUUGUAAAGUUCUGUUAUUCGGAAAGAAAGGUAAAGUCAGGAAAUGGGCUAUAUUUGACGGUACCGAAUGAGGAAGCCCCGGCUAACUACGUGCCAGCAGCCCCGGUC
rnacentral:rRNA from 1 species